AAAUAUAUUCUUACUCUUUUAAAAUAGGUUAUUAUUUGGAGAAGUAUCUUUAUUUAUAGUAUAUUAUUGAACUAAUUUUUUUAGUAAUAGUUAAUUAGUACCGUGAGGUACUGUUGAAAUAUGGUGAAAUAUAUUUUUAGUUAAAAGUAUAUUUAGUUGGUAGUACCUUUUGUAUCAGGGUUAAUUUAUUUUAUUAAAUUUAUUUUUAUUUCUCGAUUUUAUAAGAGCUGAUUUAUUAUUUUGUUUGUUGUUGCAUCAACAUCACUAAUAUAUAUCUGGAGAGAUAUUCUAUUCGUUUAUAAGGGUAUCUAGUUCUUUAAGAUCCAAAUUUAAUUUGGUCUUAUUAUUUAUUUACUUUUUUAUUAAAGUACUUAUUUAUUAAGUUUAAAAUUGUAGGGGACAAUCUCUGCUUUUUUCUAAAAAUUAUUUUUAUUUGGGGGUAGUAGGGUUAAUAUCAUUCAUCUUUUAAUUACGUUAUAGUUUAUCUCAUUUUUUAUUAAUUUUAAUUUUUUUUAGUUUUUUAUUAAAGUAUUUUGUUAAAUUAAAUAUCAUUAUUAAUAAUGAUUAAAUUAGUAUGAUUUAUUUGUUUUUUUGUUUUAUCUCGUGAUCUUUUAUUAAGGAACUCGGCAAGCAUAGUUGCUCGCCUGUUUAUCAAAAACAUGUCCUCUUGUAUUUUAUAUGAGGUCGUGCCUGCCCGGUGGAUUAUAUUUUAACGGCCGCGGUAUUUUGACCGUGCAAAGGUAGCAUAAUCAUUAGUCUUUUAAUAGUAGACUGGAAUGAAAGGUUUGACGAAGUACUAUCUGUCUCGAUUUAAUAUUUCUGAACUUAGCUUUUGAGUUAAAAGGCUCAGAUUUUUUUGUAGGACGAGAAGACCCUAUAGAGCUUUAAGGUUCACUUUUUAAGUUUUAAUUUUUUUAUUAAUAUUAUUAUUUCCUGGACUUUUUUGUUGGGGUGACAAGAGAUAUAUAUUUAACUUUUAUUAUUUAUUUUACAUUUAUUUAUGAUUUUUAGAUCCUUUAUUAUAGAUUGUUAGAAUAAGUUACCUUAGGGAUAACAGCGUAAUCUUCCUCCGGAGUUCAAAUUUACAGGAAGGCUUGCGACCUCGAUGUUGGAUUAAGAUUAUGGUCAGGUGUAGCAGCUUGAUCCAUAGGUCUGUUCGACCUUUAAAUUCUUACAUGAUCUGAGUUCAGACCGGUUUAAGCCAGGUCGGUUUCUAUCCUCAAUUUUUUUGUAGUUUUUAGUACGAAAGGACCAUUAUUACGAGUAAUUCUCUAUUUUUUGAAUAUUAUUA
rnacentral:rRNA from 1 species